AAUUUUAUAACAGAACGGAAUCAUGGUCAUAAGUUUGAUAUAAAUUCAAAACAGAAAAAUGAAAUCCAUAACCAUCUAAUAACAUCUGAAAACCGUCUAUGAAAUCUCUACUACAUGACUGAUAACAACUGUCUGAAAACUGGGACAAGGCCCCAGUAGAUAAAAACCAUAACUGAUAAUAAAUGUCUGAAAAUAAAUAGGCCUUCUGAAAUAUAGAAGGCUCACCGACUGGACUCUGCACUUCUGUCUGAAGAAAUCUACUGCUUAUCAGGAACCCUAGACUAUGCCUCAGAACCUGAAAGGUAGGGGGUCAAUACAGAUGUACUGGUACGCAGAGCAAUCCAAAAUAAAGCUUUUAAUAUAAAUAGAAUAGUUUAGAGAUAGUAAUAAAACAUCAUAUAUGAUAUAUACUCCAAAAUACAUGGGCAUUUUUGAUAAUCAUAAAACCUUUCUGUCAAUGCAAUUUCUGAUCUUUGUAUUACUUCUGAGUUAGGUACUACCCUACAAGUCUGAUAUUCCACGGGCUAUAUGGAAUCCAGCAUUGACUCGGCGGGGAAGCCCCCAACCCAAGUGUGCCUCAAGGGUUGGAGUGUUUGAGUCUGAUACCCACAGGGCUCUAGGCCAGCGUAUAAUAUCCGGAUCUGCAAAUCACGAUUUUUGGGCAAUGAGUUAUCUGAACUCAUGCCAUCUUCGGGGAACCACCUAAGCUCUCUUUAUGCCUAAUUUUAGUCUCUUCUGAAACAUACAUCAUUCUAGUUUCAAAAUCUGAAAAUCUGAUUUCAAACAUGCAUUUAUUCUGUUUUGAAUUAACAUGGCAUUAUCUAAGUUGGUGUCGUCACACCAAGAUUUGCAAGUCCUAUUUUUGAGCCAUAAUACAUCAUGUACGAUUAUUUCAUCAAAACUCAACUCAUACCACCCAAACAUGCAAAUAGUAUAAGAGAUUUCAUGUUCCGAAACAUAAGUCAAAACUAUGCAAGAAUUCUUCAAACAUAUGGUGGUCAUAUGCUUUUGACAAAACCAUGAACUCUUUCAUUAUAUGUAUAUUCAACAGUUAUCAACAUGCACAACCCCCUCUUUGGAUUUCAAAAUCAUAUUCAAGUCAUGGUAUAAAUCAAGACGUUUCAUAUCAUGCUUUUCGAAAUGCGCUCAAAACAAUUCAUAGAAUAUCAUAAGUAAGGGAAGAUCGUAACAAGAGAGGGAUUUCAUUAUAAUUCAUGCUCUCAAUAUUAAACGCAUGCAUACAUAUAUAUAAAAUUUCAAUUCAAAUUGGGGAAGGCCUAAAGACCAAACAAUAUUAAUUAAAGCUUCUAAAACAUGCUAGUAAUGGUAAAUUCAACCCUUUCCGUAAAAUCAUGAUUUCUAAAUCUUUAGCAUGAAUUAAAGAAGGUUUCUUUGCCCAUGAAUUUUUAGAAAAACCCCACGUACCUCAAUUAUGAAAAAUAAUGGGUGAUUCUUGAAGUCUACGAUUUGGAGAUUCCAAAUCUUCAAUCAAUCUUGAAAACUCAUGGUUAAAUCUUGAGUUAUUUGAAAUUCUUGUUUGAAACCCUUAUGAAUGUUCUUGAGUAAUUUGGGUGAAUUGUGGUGGAUUAUGGUGUAUUAGGGAUCAAAUCCAUGUUUAAG
rnacentral:lncRNA from 1 species